GGGGUUGUGGCUCAGAGGCAGAGCACUUGCCUGGCAUGCAUGAGGCACUGGAUUCAAUUCUCAGCACCACA
rnacentral:tRNA from 1 species